GCGCGGGUGGCGGAAUUGGUAGACGCGCACGUUUGAGGGGCGUGUGCCUAUGGCAUGUGGGUUCAAGUCCCACCUCGCGCA
rnacentral:tRNA from 1 species